CUGGAUUCCCAACUCUGAACACGACAAGAUCAUCCCUCCAGAAAGGAAAAAUACAGCCUGGGACCAUGGCAUCAUGUGCAAGUCCAGAUCUUGGAAGCCAGUGACCGAGUGGGGGGGCGCAUUCUCACCUAAAGGAAUGAGAGCAGGGGCUGGCACGCAGAGCUGGGUG